CGUCCAACUACCAUCCAAUGAAUUAUUUUCUUAAUAAAGAAUCAAUCUCAUCGGAGUCAGUCUCCGCCUCCCUUAUCAUUUCAUCAGACAAGCCAAUUCAAUUUCCUCCUUUCUCCUCUCCCUCAUUUCUUCUUCAAUUCCCAAACGAGAAGAAUCAGAAAUUUAAUCCAAGGCCGCCUGCCGCAAGACUCAUCUCCCUCUUCUGCCUCAACCCGUCCGCCGCGAGAUGAAGGAGCUCUUCUUCGUCCAUCUCCUCCCUGUUUUCAGUGGUUCGAGAAACAGAGGAACAAAAUUUCUCGAAUUCAGGCUCGAGCAGUGAUGACUGGGCCGCUUCCGAUGGGGAAGGAUCGUUGGUGAGGACGAAGGUGCUUUCGAAGAUGAAUGGUGGGCAGGCUCCGAAAUUAAUAAACGCCACUUACUCCGGAGGCAGUCGUGAUUCCUAGGAUUUCGCUAAGUCGGGGUGUUUUUCCAACGAUUCGGCUUAGGCGGGGUGAUUCCGGCGAUUCACCUUAGGUUGGGUGUGAUUCUGACGAUUCAGCUCAGGUGGGAUUGUGAUUCCGGCGAUUCAAGUUAGGUGGUGUGAUUACGACGAUUCAGCAUAUUCGAUUUCUAGAGUUUCGGUUUCCAUGAUGAUAGAAGAAGCCGGUCAGAUCGUGGGUACUGACUCGAUUUGGUAAGUCAUCGAAGAAAAACCAGCCCUGGUUGGGUAAUCUUGAAAGAGAAACUCAACAACCGAAUCAACCGUAGGUUCGGUUGAUAAUCGAUUACAGAUUUUUCGGGGGUAAAAAGUUUCACCCCCAUUUAAAAUUAACCAGUUCGGAUGAAUAUAUAAAUCGGUUAUGGAAUUAAAUCAAUAAGGAUCUGAGUCGGUUGGUUUUCAGAUCGAUUUCUAUAUGCUCAAAACAAACGGGUCAAUGGAAAACCGAUUUCCACUAAACUGUUCGUCCUCCGACCUGCGCUCCUCGCCUGAAUUCUGCAAUCGAUCUCUUAAUCCAUUCAUGGAGUGACAGGGAACUGGCCAAUGGAAAACUGAUUUCUGGUAACCAUUCGUCCUCCUACCUCCGCUCCUCGCUUUGACCAGAGGUGUUCGGCGGUAAUAACAGCUCCCCAAACAGCCACCCGAAGGCGACCUUUAACAGCUCCACCAAGGCUGCCUUUAACAGCGUCUUCAUUACGGCGGAGUUCCGAACCUGACGACCAGAGGUGUUCGGCGGUAUUAAUUAAUUAAUUAAUUGGAUAAAUCGAUAAAUAAGAUGGAAGUGUGAAUUGGGAAAAUGAAAAUGUUUAAAAUUAGUACUGAAUGUCACGAAGAUAAUUAUUUAAUAUUAAAGUGUUUAACCUUAAUUUAUUAAAUUACGUAUUGUCACAUAUAUGUAUAUCCGGUGUAUUAAUGUAUCUGAAUUUUUUAUUACCACAUUCUUGAAACUGUGAAAAGAAUGAUAGACCUACAAAGAUGGAUCAUGAUAAAAUAAAUCCAGGUCGACCUGCGUCUUGGCCCUUUUGCAGGUGGGAUUCAGAGGCUGAACUGAUAAUUUGGGUGGACCUAUAAUAAGGAUAGAAUUCGCUAUUAAUAAAAUAAAAUGUUAUUUUCUGACCAGACGUAGC
rnacentral:lncRNA from 1 species